rnacentral:tRNA from 1 species
GCCCCCGUAGCUCAGCCCGGAUAGAGCAACGGCCUUCUAAUCCGUUUGGCGCAGGUUCAAAUCCUGCCGGGGGCACAA